CUUGUUGUGUUCAAGAGUUUGAAAUGAUCUUAGGCCAUUUUUCGUAAGCCACGUUAUAUCCCAAACACUGUCCUGAAAACAUUAUUCCCAACCGUGUUUGAGCCUUUUUAAGCUUUGAUUCAUUAACCGGAUGAUAGGGGGUGAUGGAGUAUAUGGGGAUCAUCGUGUGAUAUUGACUGUGGGUUGAUUGAAAUAAGGGUGAAACAUGAUUCUAGUCAUUCUUAUAAGCUCUAGAAAAAGAAAAAGAAAAAAAAAAAAAAAAAAGAGAAAAAGAAGGAAAUUUUGAUGAAAGUUGAUUGAGAAAGUCGAGUGAUAAUUGAAAAAUUCAUGGAUAGUCGACUUUGUUGUUAUGAGAAAAACGAGAGCAUAAAAGAAUGUCUAGUUUGAUUUAUGAUGAUUAUAUCCCUUGGUUUGUGAUGAUUAUGGAGAUGUUGUUAGGUGGAAGAUGGAAUUUAUUCCAUGCUUGAAUGGUGAAGUCAUAAGGUUGGUGUAAUCAAUUUAAUUUGAAGUCACUUAGCCAAAUUUCCCUACCUAAUCCAAUGUCCC
rnacentral:lncRNA from 1 species